CCCUUAGGUGUUCUGGGCCGCACGCGCGCUACACUGACGAUGGCAACGAGUUUUUCCUUCGCCGAAAGGUGUGGGUAAUCUUUUGAAACAUCGUCGUGCUGGGGAUAGAUCAUUGCAAUUUUUGAUCUUGAACGAGGAAUUCCUAGUAAGCGCGAGUCAUCAGCUCGCGUUGAUUACGUCCCUGCCCUUUGUACACACCGCCCGUCGCUACUACCGAUUGAAUGGUUUAGUGAGGACUCCUGAUUGGCGCCGCCGCCCCGGCAACGGAGCAGCGGACUGCCGAAAAGUUGUUCAAACUUGAUCAUUUAGAGGAAGUAAAAGUCGUAACA
rnacentral:rRNA from 1 species